GGAGAGGUAGUUUAUAAAGAAUGUAAGUUUGUCAGUCUUAUGGAGUUAUUGUUGUAACUCUCUCUU
rnacentral:tRNA from 1 species